rnacentral:rRNA from 1 species
AGUGAACGCUGGCGGUAGGCCUAACACAUGCAAGUCGAACGGCAGCACAGAGGAGCUUGCUCCUUGGGUGGCGAGUGGCGGACGGGUGAGGAAUACAUCGGAAUCUACUCUGUCGUGGGGGAUAACGUAGGGAAACUUACGCUAAUACCGCAUACGACCUACGGGUGAAAGCAGGGGACCUUCGGGCCUUGCGCGAUUGAAUGAGCCGAUGUCGGAUUAGCUAGUUGGCGGUGUAAAGGCCCACCAAGCCGACGAUCCGUAGCUGGGCUGAGAGAUUGAUCAGCCAAGCAUGAACUGACACACGGUCCAGAUUCAUACGUGAGGCAGAAUUGGGGAAUAUUGGACAAUGGGCGCAAGCCUGAUCCAGCAAUACCGCGUGGGUGAAGAAGGCCUUCGGGUUGUAAAGCCCUUUUGUUGGGAAAGAAAUCCAGCUGGCUAAUACCCGGUUGGGAUGACGGUACCCAAAGAAUAAGCACCGGCUAACUUCGUGCCAGCCGCCGCCGUAA